rnacentral:rRNA from 1 species
GAUGAACGCUGGCGGCGUGCCUAAUACAUGCAAGUCGAGCGAAGCGGGGACGGGUGAGUAACACGUGGAUAACCUCCUAUAAGACUGGGAUAACUUCGGGAAACCGGAGCUAAACCGGAUACUUAUAGUUGGAUUUGCGCUGCAUUAGCUGGUUGGUCAGGUAACGGCGUACAAAGGCAACGAUGAAUAGCCGACCUGAGAGGGUGUUGGGCCACACUGGAAUGGAUACACGGUCCAGACUCCUACGGUAGGCAGCAGUGGGGAAUUUUCGGAAAGGGGCGAAAGCCUGACGUGGCAACGCCGCGUGAGGUAUGAGGGUCUUCGGAUCGUAAACCUCUGUUAUUAGGGAAUCGGUAACUAAUCAGAAAGGCACGGCUAACUACGUGCCAGCAGCCGCGGUAAUUC